AAGAUGGAUGUAUACGGUUCCCAAACUCAGUAUUAUUUAUAUUUUCGGUUAACUGUGACUUGGACAGAGUUUCAAAGAAUGUUUUAUCUUAAAUUAUGGAGUUUAUUCUAUGUUUUCAUACUGUUAGCGCUCGUUAGCAGCAGACCCCAGGACUUUGAUUAUGAUGAAGGCAGACAUGAUAACCACGAAAAAGAUGAGGUUGGCAGAGUUCAGAUUAAAGUGUACCGCGGUCCGACCAAGCACGAUGGCUAUGCCCCCUGGGGUUUCUGGGUGAAGCAACCAUCAGAUGAGGAGUGACGAUGGUUUAUUGUUAGAUGUAGUGUGUAUUUUUCAUUUUUUUUUUUAUCAAGACCAAAGAUUAAACCUUACUCCGCUUCAAUUACGUCAUAUUUGAGAUGUAUUAAUUUUAAUAAAUAUAUUACUUCUAUCUUU